CAUUAUGAAGAGCCCAUCUUCAAAGGAAAAGCAAAGAGGUAAUUUUACAGACUUCUGGAUAUGCAGGAAGGAAAACAACCAUUACUUUCAGUACAAAAGGUGACUUGUAAAUCCACACUGGGACUUUCUUUUCCCUCUUGGAGGUUUCUGCUGGCUCUAAUGGUACAAUUAAGUACCUAAGUUAAGCAGCUAAAAGUUAUCUUCUGAAAUAGAUCAUGAAAAAUAAAUAAAAAUAUUGUGUUUUCCCUCU